UGCAGUCGAGCGGACUGAUUACUAGCUUGCUUCUAUGACUUUAGCGGCGGACGGGUGAGUAACGCGUGGGCAACCGGCCUGUAAUACUGGAAUACCUUCGGGAAACCGAGCCUAAUACCGGAUAGGAUCUUCUCCUUCAUGGGGGAAGAUUGAAACAUGGUUUCAGCUAUCGAUUACAGAUGGGACCACGGUGCAGUAGCUAGUUGGUGAGGUAACGGCUCACCUACGCAACUAUGCAUAGCCGACCUGAGAGGGUGAUCGGCCACACUGGGACUGAGACCCCGCCCAGACUCCUACGGGAGGCAACAUUAGGGAAUCUUCCACAAUGGACGAAAGUCUGACCGAGCGACGCCGCAUGGGUGAUGAAUGCUUUCGGGUCUUAAAACUCUGUUGUUACGGAAGAACAAGUACCACAGUAACUGCUCGUACCUUGACGGUACCUAACCAGAAAGCCACGGCUAACUACCUGCCAUCAUCCGCGGUAAUACGUAGGUGGCAAGCGUUAUCCGGAAUUAUUGGGCGUAAAGCGCGCGCAUGCGGUUUCUUAAAUCUGAUGUGAAUCCCCACGGCUCAACCGUGGAGGGUCGUUGGAAACUGGUGAACUUGAGUGCAGAAGAGAAAAGCGUAAUUCCACGUGUAGCGGUGAAAUGCGUAGAGAUGUGGAGGAACACCGCUGGCUAAUGCAGCUUUUUGGUCUGUAACUGACGCUGACGCGCGUAAGCGUGGGGAGCAGACACCGAUUAUAUACCCUGGUAGUCCACGCCGUAAACGAUGAGUGCUAAGUGUUAGAACUUUUUCCGCCCUUUAGUGCUGCAACUAACGCAUUAUGCACUCCACCUGGGGAGUACUAGUCGCAAGACUGAAACUCAGAGGGACUUGCACGGGGCGCCCGCAGCAAUGCUGGUGGUAGCAUCGUGUGUCUUAAGUUCGAAGCCACUGACGCUAACACCCUGUACCCACCGUCAUUGACAUUCCUCAGAACAGGCAUC
rnacentral:rRNA from 1 species